CUGGCGGCAGGCCUAACACAUGCAAGUCGAGCGGUAGAGAGAAGCUUGCUUCUCUUGAGAGCGGCGGACGGGUGAGUAAUGCCUAGGAAUCUGCCUGGUAGUGGGGGAUAACGCUCGGAAACGGACGCUUAAUACCGCAUACGUCCUACGGGAGAAAGCAGGGGACCUUCGGGCCUGUGCGCUAUCAGAUGAGCCUAGGUCGGAUUAGCUAGUUGGUGAGGUAAUGGCUCACCAAGGCGACGAUCCGUAACUGGUCUGAGAGGAUGAUCAGUCACACUGGAACUGAGACACGGUCCAGACUCCUACGGGAGGCAGCAGUGGGGAAUAUUGGACAAUGGGCGAAAGCCUGAUCCAGCCAUGCCGCGUGUGUGAAGAAGGGGUCUUCGGAUUGUAAAGCACUUUAAGUUGGGAGGAAGGGCAUUAACCUAAUACGUUGGUGUCUUGACGUUACCGACAGAAUAAGCACCGGGCUAACUCUGUGCCAGCAGCCGCGGUAAUACAGAGGGUGCAAGCGUUAAUCGGAAUUACUGGGCGUAAAGCGCGCGUAGGUGGUUUGUUAAGUUGGAUGUGAAAUCCCCGGGCUCAACCUGGGAACUGCAUUCAAAACUGACAAGCUAGAGUAUGGUAGAGGGUGGUGGAAUUUCCUGUGUAGCGGUGAAAUGCGUAGAUAUAGGAAGGAACACCAGUGGCGAAGGCGACCACCUGGACUGAUACUGACACUGAGGUGCGAAAGCAGUGGGGAGCAAACAGUGAUUAGAUACCCUGGUAGUCCACGCCGUAAACGAUGUCAACUAGCCGUUGGGAGCCUUGAGCUCUUAGUGGCGCAGCUAACGCAUUAAGUUGACCGCCUGGGGAGUACGGCCGCAAGGUUAAAACUCAAAUGAAUUGACGGGGGCCCGCACAAGCGGUGGAGCAUGUGGUUUAAUUCGAAGCAACGCGAAGAACCUUACCAGGCCUUGACAUCCAAUGAACUUUCCAGAGAUGGAUUGGUGCCUUCGGGAACAUUGAGACAGGUGCUGCAUGGCUGUCGUCAGCUCGUGUCGUGAGAUGUUGGGUUAAGUCCCGUAACGAGCGCAACCCUUGUCCUUAGUUACCAGCACGUAAUGGUGGGCACUCUAAGGAGACUGCCGGUGACAAACCGGAGGAAGGUGGGGAUGCACGUCAAGUCAUCAUGGCCCUUACGGGCCUGGGCUACACACGU
rnacentral:rRNA from 1 species